GGUCAUAAAGUGUUUCCAAUUUUUUACGAUGUUGAUCCAUCUGAUUUAAGAAAACGAAAAGAGAAAGUGGAAGAAGUCUUUGCUAGACAUAAAGAUAGUGAGAAGAUCCAAAGGUGGCGAAAUGCUUUAAUUCAAGUGGCUGGAAUCAAGGGAUGGUAUUUAAAUAACAGGUAACUCUUUCUUUUCUUCUCUCUAUUUUCUAUUUUUUGGGAUAUAUAUGUAUAACUUUGUUUUUUUCUUUCUAAUCCUAUGUGUUUAAUUGAAAAAUGUCUUGGUUCUUGUUUGCUUCCAAACUAUAUUAUGUUUCAUGAUUCAUUGAAAAAGAAAGUGCAUUUGAUAAUAUGAAAAAAAAAAAUUAUUCAAAAGAUUAAAAUUUAUUUUCUUGUAGGCAUGAAUCAGAAUUUAUUAGAGAGAUUAUUAAGAAGAUAUCAGCAAAACUAUGUCACCCAGUUACUCAUAGUGACUUGGUUGGAAUGACUGAACGCUUGGAGGAUUUAUAUUUGAAAAUAAACAUUGGGGAAAAUGAUGUCCGCAUUAUAGGGAUUUGCGGAAUGGGUGGUAUCGGUAAAACAACACUCGCAAGACUUGCUUAUAAUCAAAUGUCACGUCAUUUUGAAAGUAAAAGCUUUAUUGCUGAUAUUCGAGAAGUUUCAGACAGAUGUGGAUUAGUUUCUUUACAGAAACAACUUCUUUCUGAGAUUUUUCAUGAUGAAUGCUUCAAAUUUUUCAAUGUUCAUGAAGGGAACGAUAUAAUUAGUCAUAUGUUGUCUCGCAAAAAGGUUCUUGUUGUUCUUGAUGAUGUUGAUAACAUACAACACUUAAAAUGCUUGGUUGGAAGGCACGAUUGGUUCGGAUUAGGGAGUAGAAUCAUUGUAACAACAAGAGAAGAACAUUUGCUUCGAUCUUGGCCAGUUAAUGAUAUGUAUGAGCCCACAACAUUGAAUCCCAAAGAUGCGCUUCAGCUUUUCAGUCUGAAAGCUUUUCAUAGUGAUACAGUGCCGAAAGAUGAUUUCAUUGAGCUUUCUUACCAUGUUGUAAAAUAUGCUGGUGGGCUGCCGUUAGCUCUUGAAAUUUUGGGUUGCUUUUUAUGCGGUAGAGAUGCUACUCAAUGGAGAAGUGCAAUUGAAAGACUUAAAAGAGAUUCUAACAAAGAAAUUCUUGAUAAACUUCGAAUCAGUUUUGAUGGAUUGGAAGAAAGGGAGAAGAAUAUAUUUCUAGAUAUAGCAUGCUUCUUCAAUGGGGAGGAGAAAGAUUGUGUAAAGAAAGUAUUGGAUGGUUGUGAGUUNNNNNNNNNNNNNNNNNNNNNNNNNNNNNNNNNNNNNNNNNNNNNNNNNNNNNNNNNNNNNNNNNNNNNNNNNNNNNNNNNNNNNNNNNNNNNNNNNNNNUGUUCUCAUUAAAAAAUCUCUCAUAAAAGUCGAUGAACACAAAUAUUUGUGGAUGCAUAACUUGUUGCAAGAAAUGGGAAGAAAAAUUGUUAGAGAAAAAUGUGUUGAUAAACCUGGAAAACGUUGCAGAUUAUGGGAGGAAAGAGACGUCUAUCAUGUCCUAACAAAAAACACUGUAAGUCAUUUAACAAAAGUUACAUACUAUUUCUAUUUUGUUAUAUAAUAUCAAAUCAAUAUAUGAUAUAAACCCAAAGCUUAGUCUAAUUGGUUGAUACAACUAUUCUUAAAAAGUGAUCUUUAGUAAUUUUGAGAUUACAAAUAUUAAAAAGGAUUUGUAGAAAUAAAUAUUUAAUUUCAUUGCAUUACCCUCUUUAGAGCAUAAUAUUUGUAGAAAUUGUUUUAUUUAAAUUUAAAAUGCUUUAUUUAUUAUAAUUAGAAUAUAAUAAUGCUAAAAAAAAGUAAGUUUUUAAAAGUUUUAUCCUACAUUAUACACCAUUUAAUUUAAUUUAUUUUCUAUUUUUGAUUUUUCUUAGGGUACAAAAAUAAUUGAAGGUAUAAUCAUCGAUAAUAAAAGGUAAGAAAACAUAAACUUAUAUUUACGUGUAAUAUGAUAAAAAAAUAUAGCAAAACCUUUGACACCCAAUAUUUCAAUGUUUAAUUAAAAAAUUUAUCUACUAGCGUAUUACUCUUCCAAAAGAUUCAAUAGAGAAAUGUAUGUCUUUUUGAAAUAUUAAUAGUAUAUCAAUGAAAUAGACUAUAACAUAACUUUUAGAUAUUGAAUGUUUUAGUAUAUUUUGAAGCUCAUUUUUGCUUUGCUCACUUAUAUUAGGGAAUCGGGCAAGAUGCUCAACUUGAGUGUCGAUGCCUUCUCAAAAAUGAAAAAAUUGAGAUUGCUCAAAGUGCUUUGCCUAUUAAAUUGUGAUGAUCUCAAAUUUCUUUCUAAUGAGCUACGGCUUUUAGAUUGGAAAGGAUGCCCUUUAAGAUCGUUACCUUCAAGCUUUCAACCGGACAACCUUGUUGCACUUCUUUUAUCAUAUAGUCGCAUUCAACAACUAUGGAAGGGAAACAGAGUAAGAAUUAACUCAUGUCAUCCUUGAAUUUUAGCUUAUUUUAAUAUAAAUGAUUAAACUUUGAUUAAGAUAAAAAAAACAAAAAUAAGCAUUAUUAUGUUUUCUCAUUUGUUUCUAAUUUAUUGUGAUCUUCAACAGCCCUUGUGUAAGCUGAAAAUGAUGAACCUUGAAGGGUCCCAAAACCUGAUCAAGACACCAGAUUUCACAACGGCAUCAAAUCUUGAAGUUCUAAUAUUGAAAGGUUGUACCAAAUUAGUGGAUAUUCAUCCAUCAAUCGCAGUACUUAAGAGCCUUCAAGUUUUGAAUUUAAGAGAUUGCAAAAGUCUUAGUAGUCUUCCGACCAUAACUGGAAUGGAAUCUCUUGAAACAUUAAUUCUUUCGGGUUGCUCAAGUCUUGUAAGGUUUCCGGAGAUUGAUGGGAAAAUGGAACGUCUAAAAACUCUAGAUCUUUCCGGUUGUUAUAGAGUUGAAAAUUUAUCAGAGAAUUUGCAGCAUGCAAAGUUUUUGGAAGAGCUCGACUUGAGAGAAACAGCCAUAACAGAACUACCAUCCUUCAUUUUUCAAUUUAAAAAUCUUAAAGUUCUGUCUUUCAAUGGAUUCAAAAGAGGAAGAAAAAAUUCCAUGGCUCCGAUGUUACCUUCAUUGUCAGGUUUGAGUUCAUUAAGAGAGUUGAAUCUAAGGGACUGCAAUCUUUGUGAAGGAGAUAUUCCACGUGAUAUUUCUGGUCUAUCCUCUUUGGAAGAACUUAAUCUUAGUGGUAACAAUUUCACCAGCAUACCUGCAUCUCUUACUCGACUCUCCAAGCUUGAAGAGCUUAUAUUGUCAAAUUGCAACAUGUGCACUCUUGGUGAAGUAGAUAUUCAUGGUCUAUCCUCUUUGGAACGGCUUUUUCUUAACGGUAACAAUUUCAUCACCGUUCCUUUGGCUCUGGCUCAACUUUCCAAGCUUAAAUUGCUUGGAUUAUCAAAUUGCAUGAAGCUUAACUCGUUGCCUGAGCUACCAACAAGUAUAGAAGAAGUGUGGCUAGAUGGUUGUUCUUCACUUGAAGUAGUUGCAAGUCCAUCAAAAGUAUGCAAGUUAGUGGAUUCGGCUGCUAUUAUAGCCUUUAACUGCUUCAAAUUGGCUGAGAAUAUCAACGCAUUAACACUGCUGAGAAAACAUCUUAAGGUCGAUUAAUCUCUCUUUUUCUCCCUUACAAAAUCUCAUACUUGAGAAUUUAUGGUUUUAGUUAUCAAACGACUUAUGUUUUAUUUUGCAGGCAUUUGCAAAUUCAAGAAAAAUGUUUGAUAUUAUCAUGCCAGGAAGUGAAAUCGCAGAAUGGUUUAGCCAACAAAAAGGUGACUUCUUUAUUAAGAUUCCCUUACCUAUCAACCUUCAAGAGGAUAGUGAAUGGAUUGGAGUUGCUUGUUGCUGCAUUUUUGUCAAUAGUGAUGCUUCAAGGGAUGCGGGCUUUAUCGACUGUCGAGCGUUAAUGUAUGGUAGAAAUCAUCGACGGAUUGAGGGUGGAGGCUAUUUGGUGGGUAAACGAUUCAACAUGCCCAUAAUGAAAGAUCACAUUUUUCUUCGUUAUUGGUCGCGUGAUAAAUUAUAUCCAUUUUCCUUGAAGGAUAAAUAUGGUGGCUGUGAAACCAAUAAUUUACGGGCAACAGGCUUAGAUCAUAAAUGUGAUGGGCUUUGUGUGUUUUUCAAUGGUCAUAGCCUUAAGGUGAAGAAGUGUGGUGUUAGAAUAGUGUAUGAGAAAGAUUUGGAAGAAAUAGAAGAGUUGCAGUGCCAUAUCACUCAAUCUUCACCAGAUUUUGAACACAUCCACCAACACUCUGCUCAAAACGAUGGAUCAGUAGGUAGCACUUCUGACAUAAAACAAAAACGAAAUAUCUCCGAGGAAGCGGAGGAAGAGGGGCUGCAACCAAAAUUGAUGCAAAAAUUUUUCAAAUUUAUAAUGGGCCAAUCAGGGAAGAAGCAUUAACUGUGGUAAACUACUUAACCAAUCUUUUAUUUAAAGUGAUCAAUCUAGACUUAUUUACGAUCCUUCUUACAUACCAAAAACUUAUAAAUCUUUUACUUAUAUUCAACAGGAGCUCAUAUCAUAGUUUAUAUAUAUCAUUUAAAAUUUUAGUGGCUUAAUUCAUUCCGUUUUACAUAACUGAAAUGUGAAAAUUUUUAUUGGUUUCAAUUUUUAUUAAAUUUUAUUUUCAUUAUAUAUACACUUAUAUCUAUAUUUUAUUUGUAGGUUGAAAUAAAUAUAAUCAACUUGACAUAGAAAUGUAGAGAAAAAUGGAUAGCUUCCGUGACAAAACAGGUAACAAUAAGGUGAAAUCCUUUAAUAAAGAUCAGAUUAUAAUUUGGACCGAGUUAAAAACUAUUUUUUUUAUUUGAGACUAACUUAUGUGUUCAAUUUAAUCACUCAAAAUUGUUUUUAUAUAUUUAGAAGAUUAAAAAUAAGUCCUUUACUAAUACUUGAAUAGGUUUAAUUACUCCUAAUAAAAAUAAGUCCAAAUUAUGUGUCAUUGUUUGGUUCAUUAACUUGUAAAUUAUGCAUUGUUCGCGAACCAAACAUAAAUCAACAUAUUAAUUCAAUUUUUUAGGAUUAGGUAAUUUAACAUUGGGUGUGAUUGUUAGAUAUAAGUAUCUCUUUAAUAUGGGUAUAUUCAAAAAAAAAUUUAAAAACUGUUUUUUUUCACGUAAUUAAAAAGUUAUUAAAGGAUCAUAUCUUAAUUAAUACCCAUAUACGAAUGUGUAUUAGAUAUAAGUAUUGGAUACGAGUACUUUAAAAAAUAAAUUGAUGCAACAUUUCUUUUAAAUAUUGAAUGUUUUAGUAUAUUUUGAAGCUCAUUUUUGCUUUGCUCAUUGAUAUUAGGGAAUCAGGCAAGAUGCUCAACUUGAGUGUCGAUGCCUUCUCAAAAAUGAAAAAUUUGAGAUUGCUCAAAGUGCUUUGCCUAUUAAAUUGUGAUGAUCUCAAAUUUCUUUCUAAUGAGCUACGGCUUUUAGAUUGGAAAGGAUGCCCUUUAAGAUCAUUACCUUCAAGCUUCCAACCGGACAACCUUGUUGCACUUCUUUUACCAUAUAGUCGCAUUCAACAACUAUAGAAGGGGAACAGAGUAAGAAUUAACUCAUGUCAUCCUUGUAUUUUAGCUUAUUUUAAUAUAAAUGAUUAAACUUUGCUUAAGGUAAAAAAACAAAAAUAAGCAUUAUUAUUAUUAUGUUUUCUCAUUUGUUUCUAAUUUAUUAUGAUCUUCAACAGCCCUUGUGUAAGUUGAAAAUGAUAAGCCUUGGAGGGUCCCAAAACCUGAUCAAGACACGAAACUUCACAACGGCAUCAAAUCUUGAAGUUUUAGUGUUGAAAGGUUGUACCAAAUUAGUGGAUAUUCAUCCAUCAAUCGCAGUACUUAAAAGCCUUAAAGUUUUGAAUUUAAGAGAUUGCAAAAGUCUUAGGACUCUUCCAACCAAAAUUGGAAUGGAAUCUCUUGAAGCAUUAAUUCUUUGGGGUUGCUCAAGUCUUGUAAGGUUUUCAGAGAUUGAUAGGAAAAUGGAACGUCUAAAAACUCUUGAUCUUUCAGGUUGUUAUAGAGUGGAAACUUUAUUGGAGAAUUUACAGCAAGCAAAGUUUUUGGAAGAGCUCGACUUGAGAGAAACAGCCAUAACAGAACUACCAUCCUUCAUUUUUCAAUUUAAAAAUCUUAAAGUUCUGUCUUUCAAUGAGUGCAAGGGACCAUCAUAUAAGUUACUACCAAAUUUGCCUUCUUUUUUCAAGGUAAUCCAAGGAAGAAGGACAAAUCCCAUGGCUCGGAUGUUGCCUUUGUUGUCAGGUUUGAGUUCUUUAAGAGUGCUAAGAGUGCUAAAACUAAAGGACUGCAAUCUUUGUGAAGGAGAUAUUCCACCAUAUAUUUUUGGUCUAUCCUUUUUGGAAUAACUUAAUGUUAGUGGUAACAAUUUCAUCAGCAUACCAGCAUCUCUUACUCGACUCUCCAAGCUUGCAAAUCUUAUAUUGUCAAAUUGCAAUAUGUGCACUUUUGGUGAAGCAGAUAUUCAUUAUGAUAUUUCUGGUCUAUCCUCUUUGAGUUAUCUUGAUUUUAGUGGUAACAAUUUAAUCAGCAUACUUGCAUCUUUUACUCGACUCUCAAAACUUCAUGUUCUUGACUUGUCAAAUUGCAACGUGUGCACUCUUGGUGAAGCACUCUUUGAUAUGUCUUGAUCUUAGUGGUAAGAAUUUCAUCACCAUUCUUUUGGAUCUUAUUGAAAAAUAGAAUGUCGGUAAUGACAAUAUAUCAUAAAGAAAAAAGAGAAAUAAAAAUAAAUAACAUAUAGAUUUUACGUGGAAAUCUUUUUUGUGAAAAAAACCACGGGUAAAUGAGAAGAAAAUUCAUUAUGUCGAAUUCGAAUAAUUACAAGAGAAGUAGACUAUGUCUAUUUAUAGGCUUGUAAAACCAUCUUCUAGUAAGAUUGAAACAUCUUAUUUUAAUUAAUUUCAAAUAGAUGGAGUUUAAUAAGGUUUAAAAAACCUUAUUCUAAAAAUAAAAUAAAUGAAGAAUAAUUCUAUAGGGAUUUUACUUUUUAUUUUAUUUUAGCACUAUAUUUGAUUUAAAUAAGGAUUCAGUCACUUAAUUCUAACAAUUUCUAUCUUGACACGAAUUCUUAAUGAACAAGUUCUUCAUCGUGAACUCUUAACGAAUAAGUUCUACACCUCUUCCAUAAAACCCCUUAAGGGUUUAAUUUCAACAAUGAACAUCAACUAAGUCUAAGCAAUGCUCAAACUUGGUUAUAGGAAGUGACUUAGUCAUUAUAUCUAUAGGAUUUUCAUGAGUACUAAUUUUGCUCACAACAAUAUCGCCACGAGUAAUAAUAUCACGAACAAAAUGAUACUGAACAUCAAUUUGUUUUGUUCUCUCAUGAAACAUUUGAUAUUUUGUAAGGAAGAUGGUACUCUGACUAUCACAAAAUACUGUAUUUAUUUGAAAGUUUUAAUUGAGUUCACUUAAGAAUCCCUUUAACCAAAUAGCUUAUUUACAAGCUUUAGUAAUCGCCAUAUACUUAACUUCAGUGGUAGACAAAGCGACUACAGUUUGUAAAGUGGCUUUCUAACUGAUUGCAAAACCCCCGAUUGUAAAGAAAUAACCUGUGAGAGAUCUUCUUAUAUCGAGGACUUCAGCAAAAUCAGCAUAAAAAAACCCAAUGACUCUAUCUCUAGUUCUUCCAAACUGUAAGCAAACAUCAGUAGUACCUUGCAAGUAUCUUAAAACCUACUGAACUGCUUUCCAAUGUUAUUUACCAGGAUUCAACAUGUAUCUGCUAACUGCACUGACUGCAUAUGAUAAAUCUGGACGUGAAUAAACCAUAGCAUACAUGAGAGAUCUCACUGCACUAGACUAUGGAACAUGUGACAUGUACUCAAUCUUAUCAUCUAAUUGUGGAGAUAAAGCCAAUUAAAGUUUGAAAUGGGCUACUAAAUGAGUACUAACAAGCUUAGCAUUCUACAUAUUGAAUCUGCAAAGAAUUAAUGUACCCCUUCUAACUUAGGUAUAAUUUACUUGCUUUUCUAUUUCUAAGAAUCUCUAUACUAAGUAUCUUAUUUGCUGGUAUCAAAUCUUUCAUCUCAAAUUCUUCACUUAGUUGGACUUUAACCUUUCUUAUCUCUCAUUUAUCUUUCGCUGCUAUCAACAUGUUAUCAACAUAAAGGAGUAGAUACACAAAAAGAGUAUCACAGUUUUUCUUAAAGUAAACACAACUUUUAAAACCAUGAGAAGUUAUAAAAGAAUCAAACCUCUUAUACCACUGUAUUGGUGACUGUUUCAAACCGUAAAGGGACUUUUUUAGCAAGCAAACAUAGUUUUCUUUUUCUAAGACUGUAAAACCCUCUGGUUGUUACAUGUAAAUAUCCUCCUCAAGUUCUUUAUGCAAAAAUUCAGUUUUUUCAUCUAACUGCUUAAGUUUUAAAUCAUGCAUUACCACAAUACCAAGCAAAGCUCGAAUCGAACUAUGCUUCACAACUGGAGAGAACACAUCUGUGAAGUCCACUUUUGGAAUUUGACUGUAACCCUUUGCAACAAGUCUUGCUUUAUAUCUUGGUUAUUCAACUCUUGGAGUCCCCUCUUUCUUCUUAAACACCCAUUUACAACGAACAACUUUUUUACCUUUAGGAAGUUUUAUAAGAUCUCAUGUUUUAUUUUUGUGUAGUGAUUUAAUCUCCUCUUACAUAGCAAACAUCCAAUUUUCUAAGUCUUCACAACAAACCGCCUCAAAAUAAUUAGAUAGUUCUUGAUUUUCAUCUAUAUCUUCAGCCUUAUUUAAAGCAUAAAUAAUUAGAUUAGCUUUCCUGUCUAUUUUUCAAUCAUGGUUUUUCAAGACUUAAAUGCGAAAAACACAUUGCUUUUUUGCUUCAAGAAGAACGCCCACACUUUUCUAGAAAAAUCAUAAAUAAAGGUUAGUAUAUAAUUAGCUCCACCUCUCAAAGACACUCUAGAUGGCCCCCACAGAUCAGAAUGAAUAUACUCUAACGUUCCCUUCGUGUUAUGAAUUCCUCUGGUGAAUCAACUCUCUUUUGAUUCCCAAAAAUGCAAUGCUCGUAGAACUUCAGUUUGCAAAUUUCUUACCCAUCAAAAAGUAAUCUUUUGUUCAAUUCUUCCAUGCCAUUCUCACUUAUAUGCCUUAGGCGUAUAUGCCAAAAUUUAGUAAUAUCAUCAUUAGUCAAGGAAGAGGAUGCGACAGCUGGAUCACCAGUAACUGUAGAACCCUACAAAACAUAUAACUUGACAGUCUUUCUCUGCCCUUUCAUCACAAUGAGGGAACCUUUGGAAAUAUUAAAAACCCCACUUUCAGUUGUGUAUUUGUACCCUUUUGAAUUAAGAAGACUUAACGAAAUUAAAUUUCUCUUCAAUUCUGGAACAUGUCGUACGUCACUAAGUGUUCUGACAACUCCGUCAAACAUCUUAACUUUAAUUGUUCCAACAUCUGUAAUUCUAUAUGAAGAAUUAUUUCCCAUCAAUACAACACCUUCAGACACUUUUUCGUAAGCUGUAAACCAAUCUCAACUAGAACUCAAGUAAAGAAAGCUGCCCGAAUCAAGGAUCCAUUCCUCGCUCACUUUAGAAUUGUUGACAGAAGCAAAAAGAAGUUCACCAUCGUUGUAGUCUUCUACAAUAUCAACGUUACCAAUUUUUUUUUAUUUUUUCCAUUUUGAUUCGCAAUCUUCCUUUUGAUCUUGUUCUAUAGCUUAUAACACUCAGAUUUAAUGUGUCCUUUCUUCUUACAGAAGUUACAAGUUUUACCUUUAUUUGAAGACUUCGAUCUACCCUUUGAUUUACCAUGAAGAUUUCGUUCCUGUGUCCUUCCACGAUCAUCAUUAACAUUCUGAUAUUGUCUUCCACAAACAAUAAGACCCUCUCUCUGAAUUCAGUUUUAACCAUAAAAUGCUUUAUCUUAUAAUACGAGGUUAAAGAAUCAUAAAUCUCAUCAAGUGUGAAAGACUCGCGACUAUAUAAAAUCGUAUCUCUAAAGGUUGAAUAAGAUGGGGGCAACGAAUAAAUUAGAAUUAACCCUAGUUCUUUCUUGUCAUAUUGAACCUUAAUGGCCUCUAAGUUUAAGAGAAUUUCUUUAAACAAUAUUAAGAGUUCGUGCACAGAUGCACCUUCCUCCAAACGAUGAGCAUAAAGAUGCUACUUCAUAUGCAACUUGCUAGUUACAGUUUUCGACAUAUAUAUUUGUUUCAACCUCUUCCAUAAUCCAGUAGCGAUCUUCUCUUUCAUCAUAUCUUGCAAAUUUUUUGUUAGAAAAAUGUAAAUGUAAUUGUGUUAACGCCUUUCGAUCCUUAUGCUUCUUCUUUUGCUCCGUCAAUGUUGAAGGCAUCUUAUCUACCCCUAGUAGGGCUUCCUCUAAGUCUAUUUAUGCAAGAAUUGCCUACAUCUUUAUUUGCCACAACGCAAAUCUGAUGUUGCGAUCCAACAAUGAAAUUUCAUACUUUAAAGACAUUAUUAUCGUGAUUGAGAUGAAAACUUAAAAGCUCAGAUACCAAUUUGAAAAAUAGAUUGUCGAUAAUGACAAUAUAUCUCAAAGAAAAAAGAGAAAUAAAAAUAAAUAACACACAGAUUUUACGUGAAAAUCCUUUCAGGAAAAAAAACCACAGGCAGAGAAGAAGAAAAUUCACUAUGUCGAAUUCAAUAAUUACAAGAGGAGUAGAUUAUGUCUAUUUAUAAGCUUGUAAAACCAUCUUCUAGUAAGAUUGAAACACCUUAUUCUAAUCAAUUUCAAAUAGAUAGAGUUUAAUAAGGUUUAAAAAACUUAUUCUAAAAAUAAAAUAAAUGAAGUAUAAUUCUAUAGGGAUUUUACUUUUAUUUUAUUUUACCACUAUAUUUGAUUUAAAUAAUGAUUCGGGUCACUUAAUUCUAACACUUACUCAACUUUCCAGGCUCAAAUUGCUUAAAUUGUCAGGUUGCAAGAUGCUUAAAUCGUUGCCUGAGCUACUAAGAAGUAUAACAGUUGUGAGUAUAGAUAGUUGUUCUUCACUUGAAGUAGUUGCAAGUCCAUCAAUAGUUUGCAAUUUAAUGCAUUCAGGUGCCGUUAAAGCCAUUAACUGCUUCAAAUUGGCUGAGAAUAUCAAUGCAUUAACACUGCUGAAAAACAUCUUAAGGUUGAUUAUCUCUUUUUUCUCCCUUACAAAAUCUCAUACAUUUUACCAAACGACUUGUGUUCUAUUUUGCAAGCAUUGGCAAAUUCAAAAGAAAAGUUUGAUAUUAUGAUGCCCGGAAGUGAAAUCCCAGAAUGGUUUAGCCAACAAAAAAGUGACUCUUCAAUUAAGAUACCCCUACCUAUCAACCUUCGGAAAGAUAGUCAAUGGAUUGGAGUUGCUUGUUGCUGCAUUUUUGUCAAUAAUGAUCCUUCAAUGGAUGACGAGAUUUUACGUUGUGUAGCAUUUACCUGUUGUAGAAAUUCUUGAAAACCUUCUAUGAAAGAUAAGUAGAGAGACCAACAUGCUAAGAAAGCACAAGUGUCUGGUUGUCCCUAAUGAAAAUUGACAGGUUUCGGCCGUCAAAACAAAUAUGCACCCUUAAAUCCUGACCUCCGGCUGAAAUGUUAACAUCGUAGUUGCUUAAAGAAACUUGCUUGGUUGAUUGGAUCCUGUUUAUGUUUAACCCAAUAUGGUUGUCAUCCAUAUCUUGCUCGUUGCUCUUUCUGACAUCAAAUUCCACCGCCACCACACUGGCUUGAUUGAGAAGAACCAUUUGUGUUCUCAUUUACCAUCCCCAGCCACUGUCCUUGGCUGUUGUCCAGUAGGCUGGAGUUGUUUAUUAAAAAGGCAACACCUUCGCCACCACAAGAGGUUUGAUUGAGGCUAUUGAGGACGAACUCACAUGGAAAGAAGCAAUAGUGGUGUGGUUGCCUUUCUAAAGCUGAAAUGGUUUCUUAUACAGAGCUCGUCUAGACAAAUUUUCCAUGGAACCUCCAUAACAUCUCCAGUAGCUUGGAUGGUUCCAAGAACUAUGUAAGAAUUCCUACUCAAGAUAAGUUGGCUUUAACCAUAUUUCUGGAAAGUUGAAAAUUUGAACUGAAAAGGCCUUCUAUUAUAUAUCAAAAAAUUUAAAAUUUUUUAUUCAUAUAACAUAGUUUUUAAAACAUUUAAAAUUUUAGUCACUCAUUUUUACAAAAUGUGUACGUUUUAAUUGGGUUUACAUUUUUUUUAAUUUUAUUUUCAUUAUAUGUAUUCACUUACAUCUAUAUUUUAUUGUAGGUUGAAGUAAAUUUAAUUAAAUUAAUACCGAAAUGUGGAAUAAAAUGAAUAUAUUUUGUGACGAAACAGGUAAUAAUAAAGUGAAUCCUUUAAUAAGGAUUGAUCAUAAUUUCAGCUGUGAAAUGGUAAAAUUAACAUAUUUUAAUCUCAUUCUUAAUGCGUUUUUGGAUGAAUAUUUAUGCAAAUUGGUGAAUUUGAUGCUCCUAAUCCUUUGAAUUAAUGUUUUUAUAUUUAGGUGAACAUUAGGGAGCAGAAGAAGCGAAAAACGAGUGAAAAUCAGAGAAAAAGAGUAAAUUUCAGGAGCCACACGGGUUGGGCACACGCCCUUAUGAGCCACACUGGCUGGACACACGCCUAUGUGCCAGCCCGUGUCGAUUUCGCACUUUGCUUCCCAAACACACGGAAAAACAUAAUUUUUAGGCUUUCUAAACAUUCUAAAGUCUAUAAAUACCAAAUAGAAGAAGAAAUAGGGGAGCCAUUAGAGAAGGUCAAAGAAAACCCUCAAGGAACACCAUUGGAGUUAAUUCCCUAGAUACCUAGGGAGGAUGAAACCUAUGACGAAUUCUAUUAUCUAAUAUCUAAUUUACAUGAUAAAUACUUUAUUCUUAUUUUCAAUUAUGCGUGUUUAUUUCUUAUUUUAAUAUUUUCGGGAUAUUAAUUCAUGUUUAAUGUGCUUAAUUCAAUGGAGCAAAAGUCCCUGUGUAAGAGUAAAUUUAGCAUAACUGAGUGGACUUGCAUGCAAUCCUAUAAAUAGGACGACAGAAAUCUACCUGAUUAGAGUCAAAUCUAAUGGGGGAAUCCAUAGAUCGAGUUACUGUGACAAUAGGAGUUUUAAUUAGAAAGAGAUUUCAAUUAAUUAACCUCAAGUCCGUUGUUCUUACUCUCGAAAUAGAUAUUAACAUAAUUUAAGAAUUUCUACGAAUCAAGACACCAAGUGAAUAAAUCGUUUAAAUCAAAUUAAUAAAAUUAAUAAUACUAGAAGGAAUCUAGAUAGAUUGCGCAUUUUUACUUGUAAGGUUAUUAUAUAAUUUAUUAUAUAAUUAUGUUAUUAUACUAUUUUAAAUAGGGUUUUUGAAUUUUUUUUUGUAAAAUAUAAAUUUACAUAGUAAUUUAAUUGUAAUGUAAAUAAAUCCUUUUAAAUAAGGUAUAAUGAUAAAAAAAAUUUUCUUAUUGUUUAUAAAAUUUUAUUUUGAGUCAAAUUAUAAAUUUUUUUAAUGCAAAAUGCUGAUUAAACCAUUGACGUGAUAUGAAUAGUGAACUAUUAAACUUUUCAAGGGUAGUCUUAAUUGGAUCAUCUUUCCACAAUAGCCUUAUUUAAGUUUAUUAUGUUUUCUCAUUUGCUUCUCAUUUAUGAUGGUCUUCAACAGCUCUUGUAUAAGGUGAAAUGCGGCUGAGAUGGGAUUGCAUGUGGGAUUCUCGAGGGUGGAGAUCGAAGGAGACUCCUUAUCUGUGAUUCGGAAGCUGCAAACAAAGGGAGUUGAAAGGUCAGUGAUAGGAGCCUAUAUCUCAAAUACAGGGGUAUCAAAUCUGUGUCUUUAAACAUGUGCCAAAACAAGCAAACGGAGUUGCACAUCUAUUGGGUACAGAGGGAUUAAAGAGAGAUGAAGAAACUUAUCUUGUUGGCGCGGUUCCUUCAUACGCGAAAGUGGCAGCGGAAGAGGACCGUCAACAGUUGGGCUCACUUUGUCCCGCAGGUUGAAGAUCCACUGCUUAGAAAGAAGAUAAAAUGGGAUUUUACUGUGGGCAAACAGAUCGGAGAAUAGAUGGACUACUGGGUUUCUAAGUUUCGACGGAAGAUUGGUGUUUUGAAGUGAUGAAAUGCAGAGUUUAGCCAGACCUGAAGGGUUUCUUCCAGUUGCAUCGGAAAGAUCUAGAGCAGACAUUUUGGUGGUUAUCAACGAAACAAAGAAGGCAUCUGAAGGGUUUCGCUUUCUCAGAUGUUUAGGGAAAAGGAAAGUCUGCCUGGGUGGUUGGAUUAUCCUACUUUAUAAUGUCUGUGCUCUAAAUGAUUUGGAAUUUGUUUUAUUGAUAUAACUGCUACAGAUUGACUGAGAACAUCAAUCUAUUCACAUUGCUGAUAAAACAUCUUAUGGUCAACUAAAUCCCAGAAUGGUUUAGCGAACAAGGAUGAUUCUUCAAUCAGGAUAACUUCACCUCUCACUAUUCAGAUAGAUAAUGAAUGGAUUGGAGUUGCUUCACGUCGCAUUUUUGACAUUGAUGAUGCUUCCAAGGAUAUGGAGGCUAUCCUUUUUACAGCCAAUAUCCAUUGUAGAAAUGUUGGAGAAGCUGGUUGUAAUAUGCUUGAGCUGUCUUUCACAACCCAAUUGGUCACAGUCUUAAAGGUGAAGAAAUGUGGUGGUAGAAUAGUGUAUAAGAAAGAUUUGGAAGAAAUAAAAGAGUUGCAAUGCCAUAGCACUCAAUCUUCUCCAAAUUUUGAACAUAUCCCCCACCACUCUUCUCACAACGAUGGAUCAGUAGGUAGCACUUCCCUUAUAAAACCCGAACGUAAUAAGGAGAGGGAGGAAGAAGGGCUACAACCAAAACGGAUGCAAAAAUUCUUCAAUUUUAUAAUUGCCGAUCGAAGAACAAGCAUUAAUUGUGAUAAACUGCUUCACUAACUUUGUCCUGUUAAUUCCUUUUCAGACAUUUUUAGCUAUGUUAUUUACAAUUUUUUAUUUGAUUUAAAGUAUUCAUUCCUUUUCACAUAAUUGGAAACUUAGUAUAUAUAAACUGAAAAACGACAUGGGACAUAAGGUAUUUCCAAUUUUCUACAAUGUGGAUCCAUCCGAUUUAAGAAAACAGAAAGAGAAAGUUGAGGAGGUGUAAUAGCCCGAUUUUAGGCCUAGUCGGAACAGUGGUUUCGGGACCACAAAUCCGACGAAAAAAAAAAUGUAAUGGCUUGAAUUUUCAGAGGUGUCGGAACGGUGAUUCGAGAUCACUAAAUUCGACAAAUGGGUAGAAAAUAUUAUUAAUUUAGUAAGUAUAAGUUAAAUGUGAAGUUAGGAAAAUUUUUGAAAUAGUGAAUAGUGCACUAGAAAUAAAUAUUAAAAUAAUUAGAAUCAAAAUGAGGUAUCAAGACCUCGGGGAUUUUAAACCGAGCCAUAAAUAUUUUUAUAAAUAUUUAUGGAGUGUUAAAAAGUUAGUAUUAAAGUUUCGUUAAGAAAUUUUAAAGUUCCGAUAAUUAAUUGAACAAAAAGGACUAAAUUGUAACAAAUGCAAAAUUAUAGGAAAUAAUUAAAUAGCUUAAAUGAUAAAAGGAAGAGGGCUUAAAAGGUAAAUAGACCCAAGGCCUAUUUGGGCUGGACGGCAGGGGCAUGAAAUCAGCAGAAAGUAAAGAGAAUUAAGGGUAAAAUUGGAAUAUUGCAAAAUUUGCUUAAUAAAGUUAGGACCAAAGUGGAAUUAUCUAGAUUUCUCUUCAUUUUUUUCUGAAUUCUCAUCAGCUAAAACACCAUGGAAGGGCUUCUUCAAGCUGGUUCUUCAUAUUUUUAUUACAAGUAAGUUCAAUUCUUGACUAUUUCUUGAAAUUUUUGUAUUUUUAUGACUUUUACAACUAGGCCCACUUGUUAAAUUCAUUAGUUUUUGAUUUUAUGAAAGAAGUUGAAAGUUGAUAUGAAUAUGUGCUGGAAGUAUAUGAUGAUUUAUCAUGAAAUUAGAGCUUUAAAUUGUUCAUAUGCUGAUUUUAUUGAAAGAAUUGAAUAGAAAGUGAAUGUUUGGGACCUAAUAGUAAAAGAGUUUGAAGAUAGAGUUAUAUGUGGAAAUUCUGAAUUUCAAUAGUUGUGUAACAACUUAUAAUGCCUAGUAAAGUAAUAAUAGAGAAAAUUAGAUUAAUUGAGGGGUUAAUUGAGAAAGGACCGAAUUGUAUAAACUGUGAAAUUUGGGGCAAAAUGGAAAUCGNNNNNNNNNNNNNNNNNNNNNNNNNNNNNNNNNNNNNNNNNNNNNNNNNNNNNNNNNNNNNNNNNNNNNNNNNNNNNNNNNNNNNNNNNNNNNNNNNNNNNNNNNNNNNNNNNNNNNNNNNNNNNNNNNNNNNNNNNNNNNNNNNNNNNNNNNNNNNNNNNNNNNNNNNNNNNNNNNNNNNNNNNNNNNNNNNNNNNNNNNNNNNNNNNNNNNNNNNNNNNNNNNNNNNNNNNNNNNNNNNNNNNNNNNNNNNNNNNNNNNNNNNNNNNNNNNNNNNNNNNNNNNNNNNNNNNNNNNNNNNNNNNNNNNNNNNNNNNNNNNNNNNNNNNNNNNNNNNNNNNNNNNNNNNNNNNNNNNNNNNNNNNNNNNNNNNNNNNNNNNNNNNNNNNNNNNNNNNNNNNNNNNNNNNNNNNNNNNNNNNNNNNNNNNNNNNNNNNNNNNNNNNNNNNNNNNNNNNNNNNNNNNNNNNNNNNNNNNNNNNNNNNNNNNNNNNNNNNNNNNNNNNNNNNNNNNNNNNNNNNNNNNNNNNNNNNNNNNNNNNNNNNNNNNNNNNNNNNNNNNNNNNNNNNNNNNNNNNNNNNNNNNNNNNNNNNNNNNNNNNNNNNNNNNNNNNNNNNNNNNNNNNNNNNNNNNNNNNNNNNNNNNNNNNNNNNNNNNNNNNNNNNNNNNNNNNNNNNNNNNNNNNNNNNNNNNNNNNNNNNNNNNNNNNNNNNNNNNNNNNNNNNNNNNNNNNNNNNNNNNNNNNNNNNNNNNNNNNNNNNNNNNNNNNNNNNNNNNNNNNNNNNNNNNNNNNNNNNNNNNNNNNNNNNNNNNNNNNNNNNNNNNNNNNNNNNNNNNNNNNNNNNNNNNNNNNNNNNNNNNNNNNNNNNNNNNNNNNNNNNNNNNNNNNNNNNNNNNNNNNNNNNNNNNNNNNNNNNNNNNNNNNNNNNNNNNNNNNNNNNNNNNNNNNNNNNNNNNNNNNNNNNNNNNNNNNNNNNNNNNNNNNNNNNNNNNNNNNNNNNNNNNNNNNNNNNNNNNNNNNNNNNNNNNNNNNNNNNNNNNNNNNNNNNNNNNNNNNNNNNNNNNNNNNNNNNNNNNNNNNNNNNNNNNNNNNNNNNNNNNNNNNNNNNNNNNNNNNNNNNNNNNNNNNNNNNNNNNNNNNNNNNNNNNNNNNNNNNNNNNNNNNNNNNNNNNNNNNNNNNNNNNNNNNNNNNNNNNNNNNNNNNNNNNNNNNNNNNNNNNNNNNNNNNNNNNNNNNNNNNNNNNNNNNNNNNNNNNNNNNNNNNNNNNNNNNNNNNNNNNNNNNNNNNNNNNNNNNNNNNNNNNNNNNNNNNNNNNNNNNNNNNNNNNNNNNNNNNNNNNNNNNNNNNNNNNNNNNNNNNNNNNNAUAUGAAUGAUUUGUGUAUAAUUGGUCAUAUGUUUGAUUAUAAUUGAUAGAUGAUGAAAUAGAAAUGAUGCUUAAAUUUGUGCAUUAUUGGACAUGGUUUAAGCUCAUGUGUGAAAAUAAAGUUUCAUAGCAUGUGUGUAUGGUAUAUUCGGUAUAUGAUUUGGCAUGAAAUAAUGUCAUGAAUGGUUUAUCAUGUGAUUAGUUCCAAAAAGAGUUAUGUUUCAAUACACUAGCUUGCAACUAUGGUUGAAUGAUAUGUUUAUAUCUUGUGUAAUGUGCAUAGGAAACAAGUGUGGAAGAUAAUGAAAUAGUAAGUUCAUAUGGCUGAAAUUUAAUGAUUAAAUGUUAAUUUCAUGAAUUAUAUAAUGUAUGAUGAAAUGUAUUUAUUGUUGAAAUGAGAAUAAAAUAAAAAUGUGAAAAGUUAUAGAAACAUGUUAAUUAUUUUGAAAGUUUUUAUUUAGAUGAAAUUUUAUAACUCGGUUAAAUACGUUUACAAGUGUAUGUGUUUUGGUAAUGCCUCGUACCUUAUUCCGGUGUUGGAUACGGGUAAGGGGUGUUACAGGAGGCCUUUGCCAAACACGAAGAGAGAUACAAGGAAGAUAGAGACAAGAUCCAAAGGUGGCGAAACGCUUUGAUUCAAGUGGCUAACAUUAAGGGAUGGCAUUUAAAUAACAGGUAAUUCUUUCUUUUCUUCUCUACUUUCUAGUUUAUUUGAAAAGUGUCAUAUUUCAAUAAAAGAGCAAAUUUUGUAUUCUGGUUCCGCAACAGAUCUUGCUUUCUUAUUCUUGGUUUUUGUUUGCUUCCAUUAUGAUUCAAUGAGAUACAAAAUGCAUUUGAAAGAUAUCAACAAAAUUUUAUUCAAAAAAAUUAAAAUUUCUUUCUUCACAGGCACGAAUCAGAAUUUAUUAGAGACAUUGUUAUGAAGAUAUCAGCAAAACUAUGUCAAACAUAUCCAGUUACUCAUAGCGACUUAGUUGGAAUUAGUGAACGCUUGGAGGAUUUGUAUUUGAAAAUAAAUAUUGGGGAAAUGAUGUCCGCAUUAUAGGAAUUUGCGGAAUGGGUGGCAUCUGUAAAACGACACUCGCAAGAGUUGCUGACACUCAAAUGUCACCUCAUUUUGACGGUAAAAGCUUUAUUGCUGAAAUUCGAGAAGUUUCAGACAAAUGAGGACUAGUUUUCUUUACAAAAACAACUUCUUUCACAGAUCUUUCAUGAUGAAUGCUUCAACUUUUUCAAUGUUCACGAAGGGAAUGCCAUAAUUAACCAUAGCUUGUCUCACAAAAAGGUUCUUGUUGUUCUUGAUAAUGUUGAUAACAUACAACACUUAAAAUGCUUGGUUGGAAGGUGUGAUUGGUUCGGAUUAGGGAGUAGAAUCAUUGUAACAACAAGAGACGAACAUUUGCUUCGAUGUUGCUAAGUUGAUGAUGUGUAUAUGCCCACAACACUGAAUCCCAAAGAUGCACUUCAACUUUUCAAUUUGAAAGCUUUCCAUAGUGAUACAGUGUCGAAAGAUGAUUUCAUUGAACUUUCUAAACAUCUUGUAAAUUAUGCCGGUGGGCUCCCUCUAGCUCUUGAAGUUUUGGGUUCCUUUUUGUGCGGUAGAGAUGCUGCUCAAUGGAGAAGUGCGAUUGAAAGACUAAAAAGAGAUUCUAAAAAAGAAAUCCUCGAUAAACUUUGAAUCAGUUUUGAUGGAUUGGAAGAAAGAGGGAAGAAUAUAUUUCUAGAUAUAGCAUGCUUAUUCAAUGGGGAGAAGAAAGAUUUUGUAAUGAAAGUAUUGAAUGGUUGUGAGUUUUUUCCCGAUAUUGGAAUUGAUGUUCUCAUUAAGAAAUCUUUAAUAAAAGUCGAUGAUGGCAACCAAUAUUUGUGGAUGCAUAGCUUGUUGCAAGAAAUGAGAAGAAAAAAUGUUACAGAAAAAUGUGUUGAUGAACUUGAAAAACGUUCCAGAUUGUGAGAGGAAACGAAUGUCCAUCAUAUCCUAACAAAAAAUACUGUAAGCCAUUCAACAAAAUUUACAUACUAUUUCUUUUCCUUUUUAUAGAAUAUCUAAUCAAUAUAUAAUAUAAAUUCAAAGCUUAGUCUAAUUGGUAGAUAUGACGAUCUUAAAAAGUGAUAUUUGGUACUUUUGAGAUGAAUUAUGUUUGAUGUUUACAAAUAUUAAAAAGAAUUUGUAGAAAUAAAUAUUUAAUUUCAUUGCAUUAAAAUUUCAAUAGUUUUAUCUUACAGGAUGCACCAUUUAUUUUGUUUUUUUAAUUUUUGUUCUUGAAUUUUUUAGGCUACAGAAAUGAUUGAAGGCAUAAUCAUUGAUAAUAAAAGGUAAUACAUAUAACAUGAUAUCUUUGUGUACUGUAAAUAAUAAUUUUUUUAAACUCCAUAUUUCAAUGUUUAAUUAUGAAAUUUAGCUAGCAACAUAGUACUCUUUCAAAAGAAUCAAUAGAGAAAUAUGUAUUUUUUAAAUAUUAAUGGUAUAUAUUUAAUUAGAGGUGUUUAUGAGCUGGAUCAGGCCUAUGCAAGAUAUUUAGAUUAUUUUUCUAAACUAGGGCUUGAAUCGAAAAAUGGGCUUAUUUUUUACCCAAUCCCGACCCGAUUUAAGAAAAGUAAACUCAAGCCCAAUCUAGACCAUCCAUAUUUGAUUUUUUUUAGAUUAAUUUUAUUUAAAAUUAUUUUUAAAAUAUAUUAUAUUGAAUACACUAAAAAAGUUCAAAAUAAAUGUUUCUAACACAUUAAAAAGUAUUUAUAUUAAAAAAUACUACCGUAAAUAUAAUAAAUAUUUUAUUAAAUUAAAGAAUUAUGCAUUGUUUUGAUUUUGGAAGGUUGUACCAAAUUAGUGGAUGUUCAUCCAUCAAUCGGAGUGGUUAAGAGCCUUAAACUUUUGAAUUUAAGAGACUGCAAAAGUAUUGGGAGUCUUCCGACCAAAAUUGGAAAUUUUUUCGGGUUGCUCAAGUCUUGUAAGGUUUCCGGAGAUUGAUGGAAAAAUGGAACGUCUAAAAACUCUUGAUCUUUCAGGUUGUUAUAGAGUGGAAAAUUUAUCGGAGAAUUUGCAGCAAGCAAAGUUUUUUGAAGAGCUCGACUUGAGUGAAACAGCCAUAACAGAACCACCAUCCUUCAUUUUUCAAUUUAAAAAUCUUAAAGUUCUGUCUUUCAAUGGGCGCAAGGGACCAUCAUAUAAGUUACUACCAAAUUUGCCUUCUCUUUUCAAGGUAACCCAAGGAAGAAGGACGAAUCCCGUGCCUCGGAUGUUGCCUUUGUUGUCAGGUUUGAGUUCUUUAAGAGAGCUAAAACUAAGGGACUGCAAUCUUUGUGAAGGAGAUAUUACACGUGAUAUUUCUGGUCUAUCCUGUUUGGAUAAACUAGAUCUUAGUGGUAACAAUUUCAUCAGCGUACCUGCAUCUCUUACUCGACUCUCGAAGCUUGCAAAUCUUAUAUUGUCAAAUUGCAACAUGUGCACUCUUGGUGAAGCAGAUAUUCAUAGUGAUAUUUCUUGUCUAUCCUCUUUGAAAAGUCUUAAUCUUAGUGGUAACAAUUUCAUCACCAUUCCUUUGGCUCUUACUCAACAUUCCGGGCUGCAAUCGCUUGUAUUGUCAGAUUGCAAGAUGCUUAAAUUGUUGCCUGCGCUAUCAACAAAUAAACAAGUGCAGAUAGAUGGUUGUUCUUCACUUGAAGUAGUUGCAAGUGCAUCAAAAUUAUGCAAUUUAACGGGUCGUGGUUACAUCAGUGCCAUUAACUGCUUCAAAUUGGCUGAGAAUAUCAAUGCAUUAGCACUGCUGAAAAAACAUAUUAAGGUCGAUUAAUCUCUUUUUUCUCCCUUACAAAAUCUCCUACUUGAGAAAUUAUGGUUUCAGUUACCAAAAGACUUGUGUUGAAGCUUGGGUUGCGUUGCUCACACCCGGUGGCAGCGGCUAGGCCUAGCAUGUCCAGCAUUAUAUCGUAUUUGGACGGUGUUGCUUCAUUGCCCGAUCACUUGAGCCCUGUUAUCAAAGCUUGAAAAUACCCUGCAGGAUAAAAAAAAGUGACUCUUCGAUUAAGAUACAGGUUGAUUGGUGGGGCUAUAUUUUGUUGACAGGUAGGAAUCAGCCCAUAACAAAAGAUCACCUUUUUCUUCGUUAUUGGUCGCGUGAUAAAUUAUUUCCAUUUUCCUUGAAGGAUAAAUAUGGUGACUGUGAGCUUGAGGUGUCUUUCUUACAUCCAUGUAAACCCAAUGCUAAGGUGAAGACGUGUGGUGUCAGAAUAAUGUAUGAGAAAGAUUUGGAAGAAAUAAAAGAGUUGCAGUGCCAUACCACUCAAUCUUCUCCAAAUUUUGAACACAUCCUCCAACACUCUGCUCACAACCAUAGAUCAGUAGGUAGCACUUCUCACAUCAUACAGAAAAUGUAAGAUCUACGAGGAAGCAGAGGAAGAAGGGCCGCAACCAAAAUGGAUGCAAAAAAUUUUCAAUUUUAUGAUGGGCCAAUCGGGGAAGAAGCAUUAAUUUUGGUAAAGUACUUAACCAACCAUGUACUAUUACUUCUAUUUCAUUUAAAAUAAUCAAUUUAAAUUUAUUUAUGUAUAAGAUAUGAUCUCUUUAAUAUAUAUUAAAAAAUUUUAAAAUUUUUAGCCAUACAAUCGUAUUGAAUAUGUACAUAUCUCAAAUGUUGAUAAUAUAAUUUUUUAUACCACUUAAAAUUUGUCACUUAAUUUAUAUUUUUUUUACUAUUUAAAAUUUUAGUCAUCAAUUCAUUCCUUUUUACAUAAUUGAAAUGUGUACAUUUUAAUUGGUUUUACUUAUUUAUUAAAAUUUUAUUUUCAUUAUAUAUAUUCGCUUACAUUUAUAUUUUAUUUAUAGGUUGAAGUAAAUAUAAUCAAUUUGAGAUAGAGAUGUGAAGAAAAAUGGAUAGUUUCAGGACAAAGCAGGUAAUAAUAAAGUGAAAAAUCCUAUAACGAGGAUAAAAUCAAAUUUUUGGGACGGUCAUAGUACAUUUACAAAUGACUAAAUUUAAAAAAAAAAAAAUUUGAAGGGCUAUGGCCCAUGGGCCUCUACAUGGCUCCGUCGUUGCAUCCAUGCAAAAUCGAGAAAAAAAAUGAAUAAGACGAUCUUCUAACUCCCUACCCCAAGCCCUAAUAUAGGCAGGGGCGAAGUCAAGAAAUUUUUGAGGGGGUCGAAAUUAAAUUGUAUUUUUUAUGAUAGUAAAAAUAUAAUUUUACCAUUUUAAUAGUUUGUAUAUUUAUAAUUUUAAUAGUUUAUAACAAAUAGAAAAUACCUACUCCUAGAUCAAUAUAAAAGCAUAGGUUAUAAGAUUAACCAAUCUCAAACAUAUGUUGAUUAUAUUUAGGUAAUAGUUGGUAGGUUUAGCUAACAUGAAUAUAAAUUAGAAAUCAUCAACUGAAAUAUUAUAUAGAUAUAUAUAUAUAUAUAUAUUUACCAACUUUCGAAGGAAAUAUGAAACAUAAAUCAAUGGGUGAACAAAUCAAUGAAGUAAAAUGCAGAUAGUAUUGAGAUGCAAUAUGAUUAAAUCUCUACUUGCUGCCUAUGGCAUGAGCAUCAAUGGUGGAACCUAAACAAUUAAGCUGAAUGAUGUUCACCACUGAUCCUAUGAAUCAAAACCAGCCAAUAACAAGUCAACUGUCAAAAAGAAUUCAAGUAUGAAUCUUAAUCUCUCCUCACUACAAUGCUCAAACAACAUGAGAGCAGUAACAUACAAAGAAAUUUCGGCCCAAACUGAUAUGAUAAUCAAAAUCCAAGAUAAGAAAAUAUCAACUCCAAUAGCUCUACCAUGAAACUAACCCAAUCUAGCUUGAGAAUGAAAACUGUCAAAGGUUGCCUCCAGCUCCAUGUGUUUAUCCCACAAGUUUUGAGAUCUGUUGCAAAUUCUGGAUUUAUAUAAUCCCAUUGAUAAAUAUGGGAAAAAUGGUGAGGAUGCUGAAAAUCAUUAUAUGAACCUAAAAUCAUGAUAAUAAGUCAAAGUCAAAGGUAACUUACUUCUCCACCAAGACUGAAUUGCCAGAACCCAAAAAGGGGCUCAAAAGAUUAUUUUGACUUUGUGUUGACAAAUCUGUUGACAAUUUGCAUUGUCACCAAAUAUCAGUUCAAACACUUGUAUAAAACAAGCAUUCAGUAAAUAAAAUUGAAGGUCUUACAGCUCAGGUGUUCCUCCUUGUAUGGCUAAAGCUCCAAUUCAGCAGUGGCAUUCCCAAAGAUUUGUCAUUCCCUAAUCAUACAUCAACACAGAAGCAAAGGAUAUAAGAAAAAACAAUCUCACAAAUAACCAAUCUUUCUAAUGAAUCAAGAUAUGAUUGAAGGAAAAUGGAGCAAGUACUGAGAUACCAGAUGAUACCAACGCUGGAACUAAACAAUGAAGCUGAACCGAGUCCACCAUUGGUCCUAUGAAUUAAAAAAAAAACAACCAAUAACAAGUCAACUGCCAAUAAGAAUUAAGUAUGAAUUUUAAUAUCUGAAUUUUGGUACCCACCAAAAUCCCCUACGGACAUUUUAUCAACUCCAAAGCAGAAUCAUUUUGCUACUGUAUUGAAAUCUCCAGUUACUGUUCAAUUUUCCUCCAAAUUAAUUAAUAUAUAUGGAGAAUUUCCUUCUUGGACAAUAUAUGCUAUAUCUACAACAGAACACAGACACGGCAGGGGAAUGAAGAUGAGAAAAAUAAUAGUAAGCAACAAUCACAACUGUUGAACAAAUUUCCAAUUUUAUGUUUCAUAAAUUAUGCUUUUAACAUUUACAAUGUGGAACUACAAGGUUUCAGUAUGGUAAAGCACCUUCUAGAAGACAAGUAAUUUAUAAAGCAGAGCAAGUUUAGAUUCAUCCUGGUUGGUUUUAAUUAAUUAAAGCACUUCAUUUUGUGUCACUAAUUUAUAAGUUGAAAAUUUACUAUUAACAAUUGUGGAAAACAGAAGUAUGACAAUAUGAAAAAUAAAUGAAAAAACUGAAAAAUUUAUGAUAAUAUGAAAAAAUGAGAUGAAAAUGAAACCCCUACCUAUGCGUUUGAUGACAUAAUUGAGAAGUUGAAAGUCCUCAAAAGCAGAGCCCAAGAUGGAAAGAAAUACAAACUAUUUCAAUCUUUUAACUCCUCCACCCCCUUCUUCACCAUCAUGGCUAAAGCUUCUUUUGUUCCCAGCAUGUCUCUUUUCAGUAGCAUCUGUAUCAUCUGUAGCAUCUGUAGCAUCUGUAUCAUCUGUAUCACCCUCUGCAUCCACGUAAAAUACAUGAACACCACAUCUCUCCACCUUGACAUACUCUUUUCCUCCGCUUCUUAAAUCCAAAAGUCUGAUGUAGCAUUUGAAUGAUGCCUCCUCAUAAUUCUGGUCUUCUUUAACCAUGUCGGCGGUAGAUAGAAUAAACACGUGAUAAUCCUUGUACUUCUCUGGCUCAGGAAACAAUAACAAAGAUAUUUUACUUCUUAGCUUUUUAUAACCACCACCACCACCAUCAUUGCCACCAUCGGCGGCUGUAAGUUGGUACUUACAAAUACAUUCAACAUCACUAAUGUAACGGCAGUGAGUGAGAUCAGCCACAAGGCAGAUAACAAAAACCAAAAAUCUGCUCCCACCACCCCCAUUUGGGGCUAUCUUCAAACUUAAGGAAGAAUUCAUGCUCUGACACUUGAACUUAUUUGCUGAAAUUUUGUUUCCUGGGAAACAACAAAUCAAACUUGACAAAUCAGGAAUCUUGCCACAGCAAUCAUAUCUCGCUGCCCAUUUCUUAGCUAGGGAUCGAAUUUUGAGCAUGGCAUUUGCCUCAAUGUUAUUAAUUGACUCUUGAUUCAAGUUGAAGCAAUUACGGAAUAGCAUGGUAAACUCAUAAAAACAAGCAUCACCAGCAUCUAAAUAAUCAAACUGAUAUAAAUUUUGAUCUGCAAAGGAAACUUUUUCCAAUGAUGUGCAGUCAAGUACAUUCAACUUGAGCAGAUAUGGUGGAAGCUCUGAGAGUAAUUUGAGGCUCUUGCAACGAUCCAUAUGCAUAUACUUAAGGCUUUUAAACCUCAAGCUUGGUGAGCGCACAUCAACAGUUGGAAAUUUAACGAUUGGACAACCACUAAGAUCUAGAGAAAAAAGGGAUUUCAACUUUGAAAUAUUGCUUGAUACAUCUUUUACCAUUGAGUUUGUCAAGGUCAACCAUUGAAGUCUGUCGAGAUGCUCAAUGAAAUCAGGUACUUCUUUUAUUCCGGUUUCUGAUAAAUCUAACUCAUAAAAGUAAUUUGGGAUCUCCGGAAACUUCUUGAGACUACGACAUCCCUCAAGGCGAAGGGUUUUAAGUGAUGUCAAACGGGCGAGGGAAGGAAGUUUAACCAGACUUUCGCAAUUUUCACAGUCAAGUCUUUCCAGGUUGAGGGCUCCUAAUAAAUUAGGGAUCUUCUUUAAAUUUUUGCAACUGAAAAGGUUAAUUUUCCGUAAAUGAACAAGAUCCUGCACAUGAUGAGAACAUAUAUAAAGUAGUUAGAGCAUCAUUUUACUUAGACUCUUAUCAAAAUAAAAAUUUAUAUUACCCACCAUCAAUACAUCAAAUUGUUUCGUUUAAAAAAUAGAAUAAAAUCUUUUAUAUUUAUUUUUCUAAAAAGUUAAUAAAAAUAUGUUAUUUAAAUGCUAUAUCAAUUAUAAAUUCUUUUUCUUAAAAAAAUUCUUGGAUGAAGAAAGUAUAAAAGUAUAUAUACCUGAUGAACUUCGUUCCAAAGUUGUUCCAUGUUUUCAUAUGGUAAUUCCAAUGCAACAAGGUUCUUUGGAUUAAAACUUGAUGAUAAAGAUUUGAAGGGGUAAUAACCCCAUCGGAGAUACCUUAGCUCAUCCGGAAGAGAUAUAAUAUCAUCUUGGUCUGUAUGUAGCUUCUUAUAAUCCUCAUGCUCUUUCCUCAACCAACUCGAAGGAAAAUAGAAGAAAAUACAUCUAAGAUUAAUCAUGCUUUCAAAAACAGAAGGUUGGAAUAAUAGGUUACCCAUACGUGACAUGUCUACCUUUAUUUCUUGAAUUCGAUCAGUUCCCUGAUAACAAAAACCAAUUUAUCAAAUAUUAGCAUGGAGAAAUUUAUGGACAUUCCAUUAAAUAACUCAUAAAAAAAAUAAUUAUAUUAGGAUAGACGUAGACUAAUUGAGCACUUUUAGAAACUUUUACAUACAAAAAGUGUUUUCUUUUCUUUUAUUUUUAUUUUUUCAAAUCAAUACAUUAAGUAUUUAAUUAAGUCAUAAACAUUGAGCCAUUAUGCGUCUAGUAUGAUGAUAAUUAUUUUAUUUUCUAAAUACUAAUUAAAAGGAUAACUCCCUACCCCAAGCCCUAACAUAGGCCAGGGCAAAGUCAAGACAUUUUUGAGGGGGUCGAAAUUAAAUUGUAUUUUUUAUGAUAGUAAAAAUGUAAUUUUAUCAUUUUAAUAGUUUAUAUAUUUAUAAUUUUUAAAGGAUUAAAUUAAAUUUUUAUCAUUUUUAGGAGAGCCAAACUGUAAUUUUGUCAUUAUAAAUUUAAAAUUUUAAGGGCCAUAAAUGGAAAUUUUCCAUUUUAGAGGUUGGUGCCAUAUAAAAAGAAAAUAAAAUAUAAAUAAAAAACAAAAAAACCAUGCAAGGCUUAGUCCUCAUUCAUUCUGUAGGUUAAUCUCUCCUUGCAGGACCUCAGGUCGAAUGAUUUAUUUAACCAUCAAAAUUUAUAAAAAAAUUUAUUUUAGCUUUUUUAAUUUAUUUAAUUUUUUGCUUUUUUAGCUUUUUUUACUUAUGUUUUCUAUCAAAUCGCCCUAAAAUUUAAUAGAAAGGUUAAUUUUUUUUUAAUUUUGCUGAUAUAGCAUACAUGUAGAUUAUCAUAUGAAUGGCAUAUCACCAUUUAAUUAAUUUUUUAAAAUUUAAAAAAAUAAAAAAUAUUUAAAAAUUAAUUAAAUACUGACAUAUUAUUCGCAUGGCAAUCUAUACUGCAUCAGUAAAAUGAAUAAAUAUUAAUUUUCUUAUUUAUUUUAAAGUGUUUUGACAAAAAAUUUAAAAGAAAACACAAACUUAAGAAAACUUGCAAUUAUUGUAGGCUCCAUUUUAUCAACACCCACCUUGUUGGAUUCAUAUGCAUCACUCAUUUAUGACCAAAUGAAAAGGUUAUAGAGAAAUUGCUUAGAAACCACCUUUAUUCUUCCCUGGAAAUUUGAUCUGUUUCUAGUUUCUUUCAGACGUAUUGAGCGAUCAAUUUUCUGAUUUUCAACACUACAUCCACAUAUUUUUUUCUCUCGCUCAUCUUCAUGUCGUCAUUACCUUCAACUUCUUCGUCCAAUUCUAGAAAGAAAUAUGAUGUUUUCUUGAGUUUUAGAGGUGAAGAUACCCGCACCAACUUUACCGAUCAUCUCUAUGAUGCUUUAAGUAGGAGUGGGAUCGUCACUUUCAGGGAUGAUCCAAAGCUGGAGGCCGGCGAAGAGAUCGCGCCUGAACUCUUUACAGCAAUUCAGCAAUCAUGGUGUUCGGUAAUCGUUUUUUCGCAAACUUAUGCCUUUUCAAGUUGGUGCUUGGAGGAGCUUGCUGAGAUUGUUAAACAACAUAACAACGACGGCCAUAUAGUGUUUCCAAUUUUUUACGAUGUUGAUCCAUCUGAUUUAAGAAAACAAAAAGAGAAAGUGGAAGAAGCCUUUGCUAGACAUGAAGAGAGAUACAAAGAAGAUAGGGAGAAGAUCCAAAGGUGGCGAAAUGCUUUAAUUCAAGUGGCUGGAAUCAAGGGAUGGCAUUUAAAUAACAGGUAACUCUUUCUUUUCUUCUCUAUUUUCUAUUUUUUGGGAUAUAUAUGUAUAAACUUUUUUCUUUCUUUCUAAUCCUAUGUGUUUAAUUGAAAAGUGUCUUGGUUCUUGUUUGCUUCCAAACUAUAUUAUGUUUCAUGAUUCAUUGAAAAAGAAAGUGCAUUUGGUAAUAUGAAAAAAUAAAUUAUUCAAAAAAUUAAAAUUUCUUUUAUUGUAGGCAUGAAUCGGAAUUUAUUAGAGAGGUUAUUAAGAAGAUAUCAGCAAAACUAUGUCACCCAGUUACUCAUAGUCACUUGGUUGGAAUGACUGAACGCUUGGAGGAUUUAUAUUUGAAAAUAAACAUUGGGGAAAAUGAUGUCCGCAUUAUAGGGAUUUGCGGAAUGGGUGGUAUCGGUAAAACAACACUCGCAAGACUUGCUUAUAAUCAAAUGUCACAUCAUUUUGAAAGUAAAAGCUUUAUUGCUGAUAUUCGAGAAGUUUCAGACAGAUGUGGAUUAGUUUCUUUACAGAAACAACUCCUUUCGGAGAUUUUUCAUGAUGAAUGCUUCAAAUUUUUCAAUGUUCAUGAAGGGAAUGAUAUAAUUAGUCAUAUGUUGUCUCGCAAAAAGGUUCUUAUUGUUCUUGAUGAUGUUGAUAACAUACAACACUUAAAAUGCUUGGUUGGAAGGCAUGAUUGGUUCGGAUUAGGGAGUAGAAUCAUUGUAACAACAAGAGAAGAACAUUUGCUUCGGUCUUGGCCAGUUGAUGAUAUGUAUGAGCCCACAACAUUGAAUCCCAAAGAAGCGCUUCAACUUUUCAGUCUGAAAGCUUUUCAUAGUGAUACAGUGCCGAAAGAUGAUUUCAUUGAGCUUUCUUACCAUGUUGUAAAAUAUGCUGGUGGGCUCCCGUUAGCUCUUGAAAUUUUGGGUUGCUUUUUAUGCGGUAGAGAUGCUACUCAAUGGAGAAGUGCAAUUGAAAGACUUAAAAGAGAUUCUAAUAAAAAAAUUCUCGAUAAACUUCGAAUCAGUUUUGAUGGACUGGAAGAAAGGGAGAAGAAUAUAUUUCUAGAUAUAGCAUGCUUCUUCAAUGGGGAGGAGAAAGAUUUUGUAAUGAAAGUAUUGGAUGGUUGUGAGUUUUUCCCAGAUAUUGGUAUUGAUGUUCUCAUUAAAAAAUCUCUCAUAAAAGUCGAUGAACACAAAUAUUUGUGGAUGCAUAACUUGUUGCAAGAAAUGGGAAGAAAAUUUGUUAGAGAAAAAUGUGUUGAUGAAC
rnacentral:lncRNA from 1 species